UUCCUGGUGGUCCAGUGGUUAGGACCCCAUGCUUUCACUACCGAGGACUCAGGUUCAAUCCCUGGUCAGGAAC
rnacentral:tRNA from 1 species